rnacentral:rRNA from 1 species
GAUGAACGCUGGCGGCGUGCUUAAGACAUGCAAGUCGAACGGAGUGUGUAGCAAUACUCACUAAGUGGCGAAUGGGUGAGUAACACGUAGGUGACCUGCCCUGAAGUGCGGAAUAACAGUCCGAAAGGAUUGCUAAUACCGCAUGUGGUCCCGGGCGUUAGAGAACCGGGUCUAAAGCAGUAAUGCGCUUCAGGAGGGGCCUGCGGUCCAUCAGCUAGUUGGUAGGGAAUGGCCUACCAAGGCAACGACGGAUAGGGGACC